AGUGAACGCUGGCGGUAGGCCUAACACAUGCAAGUCGAACGGCAGCACAGUAAGAGCUUGCUCUUACGGGUGGCGAGUGGCGGACGGGUGAGGAAUACAUCGGAAUCUACUUUUUCGUGGGGGAUAACGUAGGGAAACUUACGCUAAUACCGCAUACGACCUACGGGUGAAAGCAGGGGAUCUUCGGACCUUGCGCGAUUGAAUGAGCCGAUGUCGGAUUAGCUAGUUGGCGGGGUAAAGGCCCACCAAGGCGACGAUCCGUAGCUGGUCUGAGAGGAUGAUCGGCCACACUGGAACUGAGACACGGUCCAGGCUCCUACGGGAGGCAGCAGUGGGGAAUAUUGGACAAUGGGCGCAAGCCUGAUCCAGCGAUACCGCGUGGGUGAAGAAGGCCUUCGGGUUGUAAAGCCCUUUUGUUGGGAAAGAAAAGCAGCAGGUUAAUACCCCGCUGUUCUGACGGUACCCAAAGAAUAAGCACCGGCUAACUUCGUG
rnacentral:rRNA from 1 species